rnacentral:rRNA from 1 species
AGCGUACACGGUGGAUGCCCUGGCAGUCAGAGGCGAUGAAGGGCGUGCUAAUCUGCGAUAAGCGCCGGUAAGGUGAUAUGAACCGUUAUAACCGGCGAUACCCGAAUGGGGAAACCCAGUGUGAUUCGUCACACUAUCAUUAACUGAAUCCAUAGGUUAAUGAGGCGAACCGGGGGAACUGAAACAUCUAAGUACCCCGAGGAAAAGAAAUCAACCGAGAUUCCCCCAGUAGCGGCGAGCGAACGGGGAGGAGCCCAGAGCCUGAAUCAGCAUGUGUGUUAGUGGAAGCGUCUGGAAAGGCGCGCGAUACAGGGUGACAGCCCCGUACACAAAAGCGCAUGUGCUGUGAGCUCGAUGAGUAGGGCGGGACACGUGGUAUCCUGUCUGAAUAUGGGGGGACCAUCCUCCAAGGCUAAAUACUCCUGACUGACCGAUAGUGAACCAGUACCGUGAGGGAAAGGCGAAAAGAACCCCGGCGAGGGGAGUGAAAAAGAACCUGAAACCGUGUACGUACAAGCAGUGGGAGCACAGGUUUACCUGUGUGACUGCGUACCUUUUGUAUAAUGGGUCAGCGACUUAUAUUCUGUAGCAAGGUUAACCGAAUAGGGGAGCCGGAGGGAAACCGAGUCUUAAUUGGGCGUUAAGUUGCAGGGUAUAGACCCGAAACCCGGUGAUCUAGCCAUGGGCAGGUUGAAGGUUGGGUAACACUAACUGGAGGACCGAACCGACUAAUGUUGAAAAAUUAGCGGAUGACCUGUGGCUGGGGGUGAAAGGCCAAUCAAACCGGGAGAUAGCUGGUUCUCCCCGAAAGCUAUUUAGGUAGCGCCUCGUGAAUUCAUCUCCGGGGGUAGAGCACUGUUUCGGCUAGGGGGCCAUCCCGGCUUACCAACCCGAUGCAAACUGCGAAUACCGGAGAAUGUUAUCACGGGAGACACACGGCGGGUGCUAACGUCCGUCGUGAAGAGGGAAACAACCCAGACCGCCAGCUAAGGUCCCAAAGUCAUGGUUAAGUGGGAAACGAUGUGGGAAGGCCCAGACAGCCAGGAUGUUGGCUUAGAAGCAGCCAUCAUUUAAAGAAAGCGUAAUAGCUCACUGGUCGAGUCGGCCUGCGCGGAAGAUGUAACGGGGCUAAACCAUGCACCGAAGCUGCGGCAGCGACGCUUAUGCGUUGUUGGGUAGGGGAGCGUUCUGUAAGCCUGUGAAGGUGGCCUGUGAGGGUUGCUGGAGGUAUCAGAAGUGCGAAUGCUGACAUAAGUAACGAUAAAGCGGGUGAAAAGCCCGCUCGCCGGAAGACCAAGGGUUCCUGUCCAACGUUAAUCGGGGCAGGGUGAGUCGACCCCUAAGGCGAGGCCGAAAGGCGUAGUCGAUGGGAAACGGGUUAAUAUUCCCGUACUUGGUGUUACUGCGAAGGGGGGACGGAGAAGGCUAUGUUGGCCGGGCGACGGUUGUCCCGGUUUAAGCGUGUAGGUGUGUGUUCCAGGUAAAUCCGGUUCACUUUAACACUGAGGCGUGAUGACGAGGCACUACGGUGCUGAAGUAACAAAUGCCCUGCUUCCAGGAAAAGCCUCUAAGCAUCAGGUAACAUCAAAUCGUACCCCAAACCGACACAGGUGGUCAGGUAGAGAAUACCAAGGCGCUUGAGAGAACUCGGGUGAAGGAACUAGGCAAAAUGGUGCCGUAACUUCGGGAGAAGGCACGCUGACACGUAGGUGAAGUGAUUUACUCAUGGAGCUGAAGUCAGUCGAAGAUACCAGCUGGCUGCAACUGUUUAUUAAAAACACAGCACUGUGCAAACACGAAAGUGGACGUAUACGGUGUGACGCCUGCCCGGUGCCGGAAGGUUAAUUGAUGGGGUCAGCGCAAGCGAAGCUCCUGAUCGAAGCCCCGGUAAACGGCGGCCGUAACUAUAACGGUCCUAAGGUAGCGAAAUUCCUUGUCGGGUAAGUUCCGACCUGCACGAAUGGCGUAAUGAUGGCCAGGCUGUCUCCACCCGAGACUCAGUGAAAUUGAACUCGCUGUGAAGAUGCAGUGUACCCGCGGCAAGACGGAAAGACCCCGUGAACCUUUACUAUAGCUUGACACUGAACAUUGAGCCUUGAUGUGUAGGAUAGGUGGGAGGCUUUGAAGUGUGGACGCCAGUCUGCAUGGAGCCGACCUUGAAAUACCACCCUUUAAUGUUUGAUGUUCUAACGUGGACCCGUUACCCGGGUUGCGGACAGUGUCUGGUGGGUAGUUUGACUGGGGCGGUCUCCUCCUAAAGAGUAACGGAGGAGCACGAAGGUUGGCUAAUCCUGGUCGGACAUCAGGAGGUUAGUGCAAUGGCAUAAGCCAGCUUGACUGCGAGCGUGACGGCGCGAGCAGGUGCGAAAGCAGGUCAUAGUGAUCCGGUGGUUCUGAAUGGAAGGGCCAUCGCUCAACGGAUAAAAGGUACUCCGGGGAUAACAGGCUGAUACCGCCCAAGAGUUCAUAUCGACGGCGGUGUUUGGCACCUCGAUGUCGGCUCAUCACAUCCUGGGGCUGAAGUAGGUCCCAAGGGUAUGGCUGUUCGCCAUUUAAAGUGGUACGCGAGCUGGGUUUAGAACGUCGUGAGACAGUUCGGUCCCUAUCUGCCGUGGGCGCUGGAGAACUGAGGGGGGCUGCUCCUAGUACGAGAGGACCGGAGUGGACGCAUCACUGGUGUUCGGGUUGUCAUGCCAAUGGCACUGCCCGGUAGCUAAAUGCGGAAGAGAUAAGUGCUGAAAGCAUCUAAGCACGAAACUUGCCCCGAGAUGAGUUCU